rnacentral:ncRNA from 1 species
UGAUAGCGAUGAAGCGUGAAGUUGCUGCACAUAAUAGAGUUGCAGGUUCUCCGUGGAGCGAAUGUCAUGUAAGGAUACUGGCGACAA